GGGGGAUAUUGCACAAUGGGCGAAAGCCUGAUGCAGCAACGCCGCGUGAGGGAAGAAGGUCUUCGGAUUGUAAACUUUUGUCUUAUGGGACGAAACAAAUGACGGUACCAUAGGAGGAAGCCACGGCUAACUACGUGCCAGCAGCCGCGGUAAUACGUAGGUGGCGAGCGUUGUCCGGAAUUACUGGGUGUAAAGGGCGUGUAGGCGGCAUAUUAAGUCAGAUGUGAAAUUCCCGGGCUUAACUCGGGCGCUGCAUUUGAAACUGAUGUGCUUGAGUGCAGGAGAGGAAAGCGGAAUUCCUAGUGUAGCGGUGAAAUGCGUAGAUAUUAGGAGGAACACCAGUGGCGAAGGCGGCUUUCUGGACUGUAACUGACGCUGAUACGCGAAAGCGUGGGGAGCAAAC
rnacentral:rRNA from 1 species